AUUGAACGCUGGCGGCAGGCCUAACACAUGCAAGUCGAGCGGAUGAAGGGAGCUUGCUCCUGGAUUCAGCGGCGGACGGGUGAGUAAUGCCUAGGAAUCUGCCUGGUAGUGGGGGAUAACGUCCGGAAACGGGCGCUAAUACCGCAUACGUCCUGAGGGAGAAAGUGGGGGAUCUUCGGACCUCACGCUAUCAGAUGAGCCUAGGUCGGAUUAGCUAGUUGGUGGGGUAAAGGCCUACCAAGGCGACGAUCCGUAACUGGUCUGAGAGGAUGAUCAGUCACGCUGGAACUGAGACACGGUCCAGACUACUACGGGAGGCAGCAGUGGGGAAUAAUGGGCGAUGAGCGAAAGCCUGAGCCAGCCAUGCCGCGUGUGUGAAGAAGGGCUUCGGAUGGUAAAGCACUUUAAGUUGGGAGGAAGGGCAGUAAGUUAAUACCUUGCUGUUGUGACGUUACAAGCAGAAUAAGCACCGGCUGAC
rnacentral:rRNA from 1 species